rnacentral:tRNA from 1 species
GCUAGAGUGGCGGAACUGGCAUACGCGGCGGUCUCAAAAUCCGCUCUCCGCAAGGGGUUGAGGGUUCGACUCCCUCCUCUAGCA